CUUAAAUUGAAGAGUUUGAUCAUGGCUCAGAUUGAACGCUGGCGGCAGGCCUAACACAUGCAAGUCGAGCGGAAACGAGUUAUCAGAACCUUCGGGGGACGAUAACGGCGUCGAGCGGCGGACGGGUG
rnacentral:rRNA from 1 species